CAUCUACUCCGUCCGUCCAGAAAUACUUAUCGAAGACAUGGAUGUAUUUAGACGUAUUUUAAUAUUACAUACAUCCAUUUUUACUCAUUUCGCCGACAAAUAUUUUCGGACGGAGGGUGUACAAA
rfam:Hordeum vulgare subsp. vulgare, WGS project CAJW01000000 data, contig: morex_contig_59203